rnacentral:piRNA from 1 species
UGCUUUCUUGUGUAUUUUCAGAUGGCGAG